rnacentral:lncRNA from 1 species
GCUUCUCGAUGUGAACGAAAACGGGAAGAGGCGAACUCCAGACAGCUAUUUUCCCACCAGCUCUUUCCCAGUAUUUCAUAUUUGAAUGUAUUGUGACUUUUGACUAUCCUUGCACAGUCUUAAGAACCAAAGAAAAUGGCUUUGACAGAGAGCCUUUGCACUCAGAACAUCCAAGCAAGCGACCAUGCACUAUUAGCCCAGGCCAGCGGUACAGUCCAAAUAACGGCUUAUCCUACCAGCCCAAUGGCCUGCCUCACCCUACCCCACCUCCACCUCAGCAUUACCGUUUGGAUGAUAUGGCCAUUGCCCACCACUACAGGGACUCCUAUCGACACCCCAGCCACAGGGACCUCAGGGACAGAAACAGACCUAUGGGGUUGCAUGGCACACGUCAAGAAGAAAUGAUUGAUCACAGACUAACAGACAGAGAA